rnacentral:rRNA from 1 species
UGAGGAAUAUUGGUCAAUGGGCGAGAGCCUGAACCAGCCAAGUAGCGUGCAGGAUGACGGCCCUAUGGGUUGUAAACUGCUUUUAUAUGGGAAUAAAGUGAGGGACGUGUCCCUUAUUGCAUGUACCAUACGAAUAAGGACCGGCUAAUUCCGUGCCAGCAGCCGCGGUAAUACGGAAGGUCCAGGCGUUAUCCGGAUUUAUUGGGUUUAAAGGGAGCGUAGGCUGUUUGUUAAGCGUGUUGUGAAAUAUACCGGCUCAACCGGUGGCUUGCAGCGCGAACUGGUCGACUUGAGUAUGCAGGAAGUAGGCGGAAUUCAUGGUGUAGCGGUGAAAUGCUUAGAUAUCAUGACGAACUCCGAUUGCGCAGGCAGCUUACUGUAGCAUAACUGACGCUGAUGCUCGAAAGUGCGGGUAUCAAACAGG